ACGAACGCUGGCGGCGUGCUUAACACAUGCAAGUCGAACGAUGAAGGAGGAGCUUGCUCCUCCGGAUUAGUGGCGAACGGGUGAGUAACACGUGAGCAAUCUGCCCCUGACUCUGGGAUAAGCGCUGGAAACGGCGUCUAAUACCGGAUACGAGCCGACCAGGCAUCUGGAGCGGCUGGAAAGAACUUCGGUCAGGGAUGAGCUCGCGGCCUAUCAGCUAGUUGGUGAGGUAAUGGCUCACCAAGGCGACGACGGGUAGCCG
rnacentral:rRNA from 1 species